GAUGAACGCUGGCGGCGUGCUUAACACAUGCAAGUCGAACGAAGCACUUUAUUUGAUUUCCUUCGGGACUGAUUAUUCUGUGACUGAGUGGCGGACGGGUGAGUAACGCGUGGGUAACCUGCCUUGUACAGGGGGAUAACAGUUGGAAACGGCUGCUAAUACCGCAUAAGCGCACGGCAUCGCAUGAUGCAGUGUGAAAAACUCCGGUGGUAUAAGAUGGACCCGCGUUGGAUUAGCUAGUUGGUGAGGUAACGGCCCACCAAGGCGACGAUCCAUAGCCGACCUGAGAGGGUGACCGGCCACAUUGGGACUGAGACACGGCCCAAACUCCUGCGGGAGGCAGCAGUGGGGAAUAUUGCACAAUGGGCGAAAGCCUGAUGCAGCGACGCCGCGUGAGCGAAGAAGUAUUUCGGUAUGUAAAGCUCUAUCAGCAGGGAAGAUAAUGACGGUACCUGACUAAGAAGCACCGGCUAAAUACGUG
rnacentral:rRNA from 1 species